rnacentral:rRNA from 1 species
ACGGACCAAGGAGUCUAACAUGUGCGCAAGUCGUUAGGUGUAAUAAAACCUAUAGGCGAAACGAAAGUAAAGAAAGCUUUGCUUUAAAAGGGAGGAUGGUUUAAUUUUCUCUAUAUUAUAUAUAGAAAGAAUGAACCCGCACUCCUGGGGCGUCUAUUACUCAUUUUGAGUAAAGGGGCACCUAGAGCGUACACGUUGGGACCCGAAAGAUGGUGAACUAUGCCAGGCCAGGAUGAAGCCAGGGGAAACCCUGGUGGAGGUCCGUAGCGAUUCUGACGUGCAAAUCGAUCGUCAGAGCUUGGUAUAGGGGCGAAAGACUUAUCGAAUCAUCUAGUAGCUGGUUCCCUCCGAAGUUUCUCUCAGGAUAGCUGGUGCCAAUGAUGAGAAAGAGUCUCAUCCGGUAAAGCGAAUGAUUAGAGGCCUUGGGGCCGAAACGACCUCAACCUAUUCUCAAACUUUAAAUGGAUGAGAGCCUUGGCUUGCUUAAAAAGUGAAGCCGGGGACUUGGAUCUAGGUACCAAGUGGGCCAAUUUUGGUAAGCAGAACUG